GGGCACUUAGCUCAGCGGAAGAGCGCUUCCUUGACAUGGAAGAGGUCACAAGUUCGAUCCUUGUAGUGCCCACCA
rnacentral:tRNA from 1 species